GCGCCAGUGGUCUAGCGGUAUGAUAGAAGCCUUCCAAGCUUUUGAUCCGGGUUCGACUCCCGGCUGGCGCA
rnacentral:tRNA from 1 species